rfam:Dictyocaulus viviparus strain HannoverDv2000 D_viviparus-1.0_Cont22.16, whole genome shotgun sequence.
GCCUUGGUAGUGUAAUGGAUUAGCACGGCAGACCGGAUAUCUGUAAGUGCGGGUUCGAGUCCCGCCUGAGGUU